rnacentral:lncRNA from 10 species
AGGGACUUGCCUGUUUGGGGGAACCCAUGGUAACAGGACAAGCUUUUGCCAUUGCAGUUGGGACUGAUGACAUAUAGGGAUGAUUAAGCAAAGAGGUAAGUAAAAUGAGGGUUACUUGAACACAAGCACUCUGAGACCCGACAGUCAAUCUGAAAACCAAUGCAACUACUAAGUGACCAAUGGCAGGAGCAUAGACAUCGUGGAUAUGUUGGACAAAGGGAGGACUCAAAUCCAAGGCAGGACAGAGCAGGACAGAUCACAAGGUCAGGAGUUCGAG